UAGGGAAUCUUCCGCAAUGGACGAAAGUCUGACGGAGCGACGCCGCGUGAGCGAAGAAGGUCUUCGGAUCGUAAAGCUCUGUUGUUAGGGAAGAAGAAGUGCCGUUCGAACAGGGCGGCACGGUGACGGUACCUAACGAGAAAGCCCCGGCUAACUACGUGCCAGCAGCCGCGGUAAUACGUAGGGGGCGAGCGUUGUCCGGAAUGAUUGGGCGUAAAGCGCGCGCAGGCGGUCCCUUAAGUCUGAUGUGAAAGCCCACGGCUUAACCGUGGAGGGUCAUUGGUAACUGGGGGACUUGAGUGCAGAAGAGGAGAGCGGAAUUCCACGUGUAGCGGUGAAAUGCGUAGAGAUGUGGAGGAACACCAGUGGCGAAGGCGGCGCUCUGGUCUGUAACUGACGCUGAGGCGCGAAAGCGUGGGGAGCAAACAGG
rnacentral:rRNA from 1 species